UUUCCGUAGGUGAACCUGCGGAAGGAUCAUUAUCGAAUUGUAAAGGGGUGCUGAUGCUGGUAGAUUUCGGGCUGCAAUUUGCUCGCUUUCCGACAUUUCUUUACCCAUACACCUGUGAACCUUUGAGGGAAUCGAGUCUGUUUUAUUACAGAUUGGAGUUCCUCUUUAUUAACACAUACCCUCUUCUUAAAUAAUAAACGUGAUCGUGCCGAAAGGCCAUAAUCAAAUAUACAACUUUUAACAACGGAUCUCUUGGCUCUC
rnacentral:misc_RNA from 1 species